UGAAAUAGUUUUAUAAUCAACAUAACUUAUCUAAAAAUUUCACCAUUAUAUAGAAGAAGAAAAAAUUAAGUGCAGAUAUUACAUGUAACUCAAAACGAAUUUUAUUUUCUAUAUUUUUAUGUUCUUGUUUUUGAAAUAAAACCUAUAAAAAUUAUUUAACUGGCUUUUUACAUACAUAUUACUAUUAUAUCCUUAAUAUUAUUUUAUCUCUGUAAAUGUAAGUUUCUGUAUCCGCGAAGCAGUUGUUAAGUAUUCUAAAUGGAGCUCAAACUAAACAAGAAGCGCUUAAGGAUUUUCCAAAUUUUAGCAAGAAAAAAAACAUU
rnacentral:lncRNA from 1 species